rnacentral:rRNA from 1 species
AAAUUGAAGAGUUUGAUCAUGGCUCAGAUUGAACGCUGGCGGCAGGCCUAACACAUGCAAGUCGAACGGUAACAGGAAGCAGCUUGCUGCUUCGCUGACGAGUGGCGGACGGGUGAGUAAUGUCUGGGAAACUGCCUGAUGGAGGGGGAUAACUACUGGAAACGGUAGCUAAUACCGCAUAAUGUCGCAAGACCAAAGAGGGGGACCUUCGGGCCUCUUGCCAUCGGAUGUGCCCAGAUGGGAUUAGCUUGUUGGUGGGGUAACGGCUCACCAAGGCGACGAUCCCUAGCUGGUCUGAGAGGAUGACCAGCCACACUGGAACUGAGACACGGUCCAGACUCCUACGGGAGGCAGCAGUGGGGAAUAUUGCACAAUGGGCGCAAGCCUGAUGCAGCCAUGUCGCGUGUAUGAAGAAGGCCUUCGGGUUGUAAAGUACUUUCAGCGGGGAGGAAGGGAGUAAAGUUAAUA